AUUGAACGCUGGCGGCAGGCCUAACACAUGCAAGUCGAGCGAGCGGCGGACGGGUGAGUAAUGUCUGGGAAACUGCCUGUUGGAGGGGGAUAACUACUGGAAACGUUAGCUAAUACCGCAUACCAUCAGAUCUGACCCGAUGGGAUUAGCUAGUCGGUGGGGUAAUGGCCCACCAAGGCGACGAUGGCUCGCCGGUCUGAGAGGAUGACCAGCAACACUGGAACUGAGACACGGUCCAGAGUCCUACGGGAGGCAGCAGUGGGGAAUAUUGCACAAUGGGCGCAAGCCUGAUGCAGCCAUGCCGCGUGUGUGAAGAAGGCCUUCGGGUUGUAAAGCACUUUCAGCGGGGAGGCGUUACCCGCAGAAGAAGCACCGGCUAACUCCGGGCCAGCAGCCGCGGUAAUUC
rnacentral:rRNA from 1 species